rnacentral:rRNA from 1 species
AGCAGUCGCCACGGUAAUACAGAGGGUGCGAGCGUUAAUCGGAUUUACUGGGCGUAAAGCAUGCGUAGGCGGCUUUUUAAGUCGGAUGUGAAAUCCCUGAGCUUAACUUAGGAAUUGCAUUCGAUACUGGGAAGCUAGAGUAUGGGAGAGGAUGGUAGAAUUCCAGGUGUAGCGGUGAAAUGCGUAGAGAUCUGGAGGAAUACCGAUGGCGAAGGCAGCCAUCUGGCCUAAUACUGACGCUGAGGUACGAAAGCAUGGGGAGCAAACAGGAUUAGAUACCCCAGUAGUCCCUGUCUCUUAUAC